UCUGCUAGUACACGUGGACACCUACCCUAAGGAGGGGGAUAACCCCGGGAAACUGGGGAUAAUACCCCAUAGACUAGAGAAGCUGGAAUGCUCUCAAGUCCAAAGGUCCGCCGCCUUAGGAUGGGUCUGCGGUCGAUUAGGUUGUUGUUGGGGUAACGGCCCAACAAGCCCGUGAUCGAUACGGGUUGUGAGAGCAAGAGCCCGGAGAUGGAUUCUGAGACACGAAUCCAGGCCCUACGGGGCGCAGCAGGCGCGAAAACUUUACAAUGCGGGAAACCGUGAUAAGGGAACCCCGAGUGCCCGUAAAUUCGGGCUGUCCAUCAGCGUAAAUAACUGGUGAAGAAAGGGCCGGGCAAGACCGGUGCCAGCCGCCGCGGUAAUACCGGCGGCUCGAGUGGUGGCCACUAUUAUUGGGCUUAAAGCGUCCGUAGCUUGGUUGUUAAGUCUCUUGGGAAAUCUACCGGCUCAACCGGUAGGCGUUCAGGAGAUACUGGCAAUCUAGGGACCGGGAGAGGUGAGAGGUACUCCAGGGGUAGGAGUGAAAUCCUGUAAUCCUUGGGGGACCACCUGUGGCGAAGGCGUCUCACUAGAACGGCUCCGACAGUGAGGGACGAAAGCUGGGGGAGCAAACCGGAUUAGAUACCCGGGUAGUCCCAGCUGUAAACGAUGCGCGUUAGGUGUAUCGGUGACCACGAGUCACCGAGGUGCCGAAGGGAAACCGUGAAACGUGCCACCUGGGAAGUACGGCCGCAAGGCUGAAACUUAAAGGAAUUGGCGGGGGAGCACCACAACGGGUGGAGCUUGCGGUUUAAUUGGAUUCAACGCCGGAAAUCUUACCGGGACCGACAGCAAUAUGAAGGCCAGGCUGAAGACUUUGCCGGAUUAGCUGAGAGGUGGUGCAUGGCCGUCGUCAGUUCGUACUGUGAAGCAUCCUGUUAAGUCAGGCAACGAGCCNAGACUCGAUNU
rnacentral:rRNA from 1 species